AAAUAAAGGAUGUUUUGUCAGUUUACUCAUUUAAUAUUUUAUCUUUUAUGCUUUUCGAGAGUAACAUACAUUCAAGAAGUAAAAAGCACAAGUCGACAGCUUGAUUAAUAUUUACAUAUUUAAUCGCAAACUAGAAAAUGAUAUAGAGUAUUUCACCCAAGAAUGUUCCUUUAUGUUCGGUUUUAGUCAACAUCCACAUCUGCCCCACUUUGGAAAGCUUUCUUUCACUUUCUAGCACCAUCAAUUAGUUUUGCCUAUUCUUGAACAUAAUCUUUACUAAGACAGAGAAAGCUGUGUUAGUCCUCAAGUUCUCAUCACAGAACAAUUUAUUAUCAGUUAUACUUAAUCACAAGCUUCUCUAGUAAAACGUAUGGCAGUGCUACUCCAGCAAUAGCACUGACAGAGUAAAAUGUCAGAUCAUAACACCUGUAUGCCUAUAUAUUUUGCUCCAUGGAGCACUGUAAUUUGUGCACAAAGAAGCAAAAGGAAAAAACAAACUUUGGAGAAAGUUGUAGCUUUCAUAGGACAAACAGACAAAUGAUUAUUGGUGGAAUAUGCCCAACUAUGAAGAAGUUCACUUUGUGUGAUUUAUAGGACAUUACUCUCAGAGAGGGAUUUUCUCGUCUUCAUUUACUCACAGAAUCCUUGGGAAAAAAAUCAAGGAGCCUGCCUUUAUAAAUGCUUUGUGUAUAUAUACUUUGGAUUAAAAUAUAUAAGGAGUUAUGCUGGAGCUUUCAUUUACAAGCAGAGAUGGAAAAGGCAACCUUCAACCUGCUCAAGACUAUGGAAAUGAUGUUGGACAAAAAGCAAAUUUGAGCAUUUUUCUUAUUCGAGUUCAAAAUGGGUCGUAAAGCAGCAGAGACAACUCACAACAUCAAAAACACAUUUGGCCCAGGACCUCCUAACAAAGGCUGAAAUGGAAUGAAAGAGCAUGAAUUGAAUAUUUCGUGCUGUGCAGGUAUGUAUAAUUCAUAAUCAACUUCUUCAAAAAGAAAUAGAUAAGAAGUACUGAAAGCUAUAAAUGAAAUAUUUCUAUACUUAACAGAUACACUGCAUAAAGAUCUUUUAAGGUUUAUCUGCACUGAUGCCGAAAAAUUACAAAAAUAACAAGCCACUAAGUAUGAAUCAGACAGAGAGAGAAAUAGAAAAGAGUUAAACAGAACAAUGGAUAGCUGUCCAUAUAAAACAUAGAAGUAGUUUUCUCUCAAGUAACAAAAUGUUAGCAAAGUUUGUAGCAAGAUAUUUGAGUCAAUUACUCACUUCUUCCCUUUUUUCUUGUGAAUGCAAUGUGAAUGGUAAAGUUAUUAAAAGAGGAUAUUUCAAAAUUCCUCUUAAAAUGUUAAAUUAAAGAUAACUAUGGUCAGUUCCUUCCCUCACUCAAGUGUUCAUUCAUUUAUUAAUUCCACAAAUCUUUAUCGAGCAGCCACCAUUUAUCAGUGUUUAUAAAUGGAAUGACCAUGUAAUUUAUAAUCCAAACUAAGACAAGUUUCAGUGUAAAGAGGAGACAAACAUAGAAUAUUUUGGCGACAGUUCAAAAGUAAAACUGGCUCUUGCAAAACAGGCUUAUAUGAACACCCCCUUAUAAAACUUGCUCUUUGAACUUAAGGACUUCAUAGCGUAUCAUUUUAUACUCGAAAAGGAACAUAAAACUCUAACGCGGUAUGACAACCACAAGAGCACCUCCAGGAUGAUAGAAAUGUGUGUAGGAUGAAACUGACCUAGUUAAGAUCAUGAGAAGAUUUUUAGAGAAAGUAACUUUAAGCUGAGGAAAAGAAAAUAUUGGUUAUAUUUCAACUGUGUAAUAAUUACAGAUUGGACUUAGUAAAACACUAAAAAUAAAUUUGAAUCCUCUAACCAAAUAAAUCAUUCAGCAUAGGAAAAGAUUAUACAUUAUCUUCAUGAAAACAAAAUGAAGUUUGUGUGUUUGUGUGCUCCAAAUCAUAGAGUAGGUAGAAAUACCCAGUCUGAGGCCUAGAUCUGAAUUAUUAAAGAAAACUGCUAAAGUACCAUAACAAUUCUGUUAUCCUAAUAAAAUUGUUCAAUUCUGAAUAAUAUCAUAAGCUACAAAAUGGUGUUCCCACUUAUAAACACAGCAGAAUAGUUCUGCUGUAUACAUACAUCUAAACAUUUAAAAAGGAGUUCUUGCUAAAAGUUCACUAAAAAUAUUUUACAACACUCAUAACUGUUCUCUCAAGAUUUUUAUUUGGUGGUAUUUUAUAUAUCUUAACGAGUUAUUAGAAAUAAAAAAUAAAUUUAAUGUUAAGAUUGAGAACUGGAUAUUUACUGAGAAAUCUGUUCUUAUUGUACAGAAGAAAAGUUAAGCUGCUUCAUACAAGGUAGCAAUACUAAUUAUGAUC